CCUACGGGGGGCAGCAGUGAGGAAUAUUGGUCAAUGGACGAGAGUCUGAACCAGCCAAGUAGCGUGAAGGAUGACUGCCCUAUGGGUUGUAAACUUCUUUUAUAUGGGAAUAAAAUGUUCCACGUGUGGGAUUUUGUAUGUACCAUAUGAAUAAGGAUCGGCUAACUCCGUGCCAGCAGCCGCGGUAAUACGGAGGAUCCGAGCGUUGUCCGGGUUUAUUGGGUUUAAAGGGAGCGUAGGUGGAUUGUUAAGUCAGUUGUGAAAGUUUGCGGCUCAACCGUAAAAUUGCAGUUGAAACUGGCAGUCUUGAGUACAGUAGAGGUGGGCGGAAUUCGUGGUGUAGCGGUGAAAUGCUUAGAUAUCACGAAGAACUCCGAUUGCGAAGGCAGUUCACUGGACUGCAACUGACACUGAGGCUCGAAAGUGUGGGUAUCAAACAGGAUUAGAUACCCUGGUAGUC
rnacentral:rRNA from 1 species